UACGUAGGGGGCAAGCGUUGUCCGGAAUUAUUGGGCGUAAAGAGCUCGUAGGCGGUCCGUCACGUCUGCCGUGAAAACCCGAGGCUUAACCUCGGGCCUGCGGUGGAUACGGGCGGGACUAGAGGUAGGUAGGGGAGAAUGGAAUUCCCGGUGUAGCGGUGAAAUUCGUAGAUAUCGGGAGGAACACCGGUGGCGAAGGCGGCGAUCUGGGUAGAUACUGACGCUGAGGUGCGAAAGCGUGGGGAGCAAACAGG
rnacentral:rRNA from 1 species